AUAACUACCCUGGACGGUGGAUCACUUGGCUCGCGGGUCGAUGAAGAACGCAGUUAACUGCGUCAUAUGUGAACUGCGGACACAUUUGAACAUCGACAUUUCGAACGCACAUUGCGGUCCGUGGAGACACAUCCAGGACCACUCCUGUCUGAGGGCCGGCCGUAUAUAACAAAGGCCACAUUGCGAACGCGCUCGCGCUCUCCGUGCGCGUGUGCCGUUCGACAAUUGACGGCGUCGACGCGUUUCUCUCCCUUCUCGUCUCCUCCAAGCGAAGAGAUGUGGGUAGAGAUUGUUUUACGUGUCGUCCGUUUAAAUAUAUUAUUCGUACGAAUCUCGAUUACGCCGCCGCGCACAAACGUCGCGCGCGUCGUCUUCGUAUUCGCGUCUCGGCAGAGAUCCGACUCCACGUAAGGGAGUUCGGUGUCGUAGUCGAAACGACGGAUCGAUGAUACGACGGGUGCGAUGUGCGCGGCGCAUCUUGAAAUUUUUCGUAACGAUAUAUCCGCCGUAGGCGGACUCGACGUCGAAGCCGCGCGUCGUCGCGCGGACGGAUAUCGAGUCUGCCUCGCACCAUAUCGUCGGCCUCAGAUGGGAGGAUCACCCGCCGAAUUUAAGCAUAUUAGUAAGCGGAAAAGAAACUAACAGGAUUUCCUAGUAGCGGCGAGCGAACAGGAAAGAGCCCAGCGCCGAAUCGCGCGAUCGUAACGGUCGCGCGACAUAAUGUUCGGGAGGUUCCGCUUUCUCGUCGUCGGGUCUCCGUCCAGUUCGUCUUGAACGGGGCCGCUUUCCCGUAGAGCCAGGCCCGUAGAGACGGAGCGCGGCGGCGAGGGACUCUCCUCAGAGUCGGGUUGCUUGAGAGUGCAGCCUAAGCGGGUGGUAAAACUCCAUCUAAGGCUAAAUAUCACCGCGAGACCGAAGCGAACAAGUACCGUGAGGGAAAGUUGAAAGAACUUUGAAGAGAGUUCAAGGUACGUGAAACCGUUCGGGGUAAACCUGCGAAACUCGAAUGAACGAACGGAGAGAUUCAACGUUCGUUUCCGUGCUGCGUGCGUACGGUCGUCCCGGACGUCCGUCGAUCUCGGUCUUUCGGGGCCGUGUCGGCGGGCGCGGAUCGUGCGUAUCGUCGCCGGGGACGGCGUGCACUUCUCUCAGUAAAGGCAUCGCGACCCGUUCGAGGUCGGUCUGAGCGCCGUUCGGGGCCGGCGACUUAACUCGGUCGUCGGACCGCGACGGUGGCCGACCGGCCUUCCAUCGGACGGUAUGAAUACGAAACGCGCGCGCGCGGCGCGCGUCAGGCCCGACGCGAGGCGUCGUCGCGUUCGAGGUUCCGCCCGAGUGCGGACCUCGACGCUGCGCGCCUGCAUCGAUACGGCCGCCGUGUAGUCUCGACCGUAUCGUGAUUCGGUUUCGGGCACUCGCAGGACCCGUCUUGAAACACGGACCAGAGGUCUAGCAUGUGUGCAGUCGUUGAGA
rnacentral:rRNA from 1 species